AGAGAGAGAGAGAGAGAGAGAGAGAGAGAGAGACGCACACACGCAGCGGGCAUUGAACGCUUGAUAUAAGCAAAAUGAAACAACAACAACAACAACAGCAACAGCAUGAAAGGCAGCCAACGAAACGAAAAGCACACGCAAUUUGCCAACGCAGCUGACGACUGCGACGCUGCAGC